AUUGAACGCUGGCGGAAUGCUUUACACAUGCAAGUCGAACGGCAGCACGGGGCAACCUGGUGGCGAGUGGCGAACGGGUGAGUAAUACAUCGGAACGUGCCCAAUCGUGGGGGAUAACGUAGCGAAAGUUACGCUAAUACCGCAUACGAUCUACGGAUGAAAGCGGGGGAUCGCAAGACCUCGCGCGAAUGGAGCGGCCGAUGUCAGAUUAGGUAGUUGGUGGGGUAAAGGCUCACCAAGCCAACGAUCUGUAGCUGGUCUGAGAGGACGACCAGCCACACUGGAACUGAGACACGGUCCAGACUCCUACGGGAGGCAGCAGUGGGAAUUUUGGACAAUGGGCGCAAGCCUGAUCCAGCCAUUCCGCGUGCAGGAUGAA
rnacentral:rRNA from 1 species